GUGUGGAAUUUGAGUCCUCCCCAACCACCCACCAAAAAAGGAGGGUGAAAUGAAAAGAAGAAGAAAACCUCAGCAUUCUUUUCUCUGACAAAGAGUAAAAUGACAUGGAAUAUCGGCCUGAAUUCUCUUCCCCAAGAAGAAAUCACACCAACGCAGGCGUUUGUCUUCUGUCCAUGGUGCUGAAGUUUAUUCGCUUUCAAACCACUUUCAGUAACAGUUAGCGUAAGAUGUGAGAAGUGUUGACAGGAAGCUGCAGCCUGGAUGGGAUGAUCACAACUCCAUGACAACGAGAUGACACGAAUGCAGGAGAGACCCCAGCGGGCAGGAACCUCUUGCCGUCUGUCCCAAGGCCCAGCCCUCCUUGUGCUCCCUGGCUGUUAUCUUCGGUACUAUAAAGAGAACACAGACAUAUCUGGCUUGGUGACCUAGCUGUCCUGGAAAAGUCAGCUUCAUCAAAUUCUUUACAAAAGGAAAAUACAGGGAAAGGGAUAAACCUCAUUGAGUUGGAGAAAAUCAAGAGGAGUGAGCACAGCAUCAGAAAGCCACCUGGCCCCAGACUGCACCCGCUUUCCUGGCCCUACCUUGAAAUCCAUCAGGUCUGCGUUGGACACGGCAUUGUACAUGGGAUUAGCUCUGGUCUGACCUGGGAGCUGGAAUGCCAGAAAAAGGAGGAAGGUCACGCUGAUGGUGGAGAAGGAGCUCAUGCUGGCGUCGUCAAGGAGCAAUCCACUGCUUGCUGCUCU